UCAGCAUCACAUUGAAACACAAGUUCCCGUACAAUCAGCGACGUUAAGCAACAUCGAGUCUAGUCAGUACCUAGAUGGGUGACCGCUUGGUAAUGCCAGGUGCU